GAUGAACGCUGGCGGCGUGCCUAAUACAUGCAAGUCGAGCGAACGGACGAGAAGCUUGCUUCUCUGAUGUUAGCGGCGGACGGGUGAGUAACACGUGGAUAACCUACCUAUAAGACUGGGAUAACUUCGGGAAACCGGAGCUAAUACCGGAUAAUAUUUUGAACCGCAUGGUUCAAAAGUAAAAGACGGUCUUGCUGUCACUUAUAGAUGGAUCCGCGCUGCAUUAGCUAGUUGGUAAGGUAACGGCUUACCAAGGCAACGAUGCAUAGCCGACCUGAGAGGGUGAUCGGCCACACUGGAACUGAGACACGGUCCAGACUCCUACGGGAGGCAGCAGUAGGGAAUCUUCCGCAAUGGGCGAAAGCCUGACGGAGCAACGCCGCGUGAGUGAUGAAGGUCUUCGGAUCGUAAAACUCUGUUAUUAGGGAAGAACAUAUGUGUAAGUAACUGUGCACAUCUUGACGGUACCUAAUCAGAAAGCCACGGCUAACUACGUGCCAGCAGCCGCGGUAAUACGUAGGUGGCAAGCGUUAUCCGGAAUUAUUGGGCGUNAAGCGCGCGUANGCGGUUUUUUAAGUCUGAUGUGAAAGCCCACGGCUCAACCGUGGAGGGUCAUUGGAAACUGGAAAACUUGAGUGCAGAAGAGGAAAGUGGAAUUCCAUGUGUAGCGGUGAAAUGCGCAGAGAUAUGGAGGAACACCAGUGGCGAAGGCGACUUUCUGGUCUGUAACUGACGCUGAUGUGCGAAAGCGUGGGGAUCAAACAGGAUUAGAUACCCUGGUAGUCCACGCCGUAAACGAUGAGUGCUAAGUGUUAGGGGGUUUCCGCCCCUUAGUGCUGCAGCUAACGCAUUAAGCACUCCGCCUGGGGAGUACGACCGCAAGGUUGAAACUCAAAGGAAUUGACGGGGACCCGCACAAGCGGUGGAGCAUGUGGUUUAAUUCGAAGCAACGCGAAGAACCUUACCAAAUCUUGACAUCCUUUGACAACUCUAGAGAUAGAGCCUUCCCCUUCGGGGGACAAAGUGACAGGUGGUGCAUGGUUGUCGUCAGCUCGUGUCGUGAGAUGUUGGGUUAAGUCCCGCAACGAGCGCAACCCUUAAGCUUAGUUGCCAUCAUUAAGUUGGGCACUCUAAGUUGACUGCCGGUGACAAACCGGAGGAAGGUGGGGAUGACGUCAAAUCAUCAUGCCCCUUAUGAUUUGGGCUACACACGUGCUACAAUGGACAAUACAAUGGGCAGCGAAACCGCGAGGUCAAGCAAAUCCCAUAAAGUUGUUCUCAGUUCGGAUUGUAGUCUGCAACUCGACUACAUGAAGCUGGAAUCGCUAGUAAUCGUAGAUCAGCAUGCUACGGUGAAUACGUUCCCGGGUCU
rnacentral:rRNA from 1 species